CCUACGGGAGGCAGCAGUGAGGAAUAUUGGUCAAUGGGCGCGAGCCUGAACCAGCCAAGUCGCGUGAGGGAAGAAGGUCCUAAGCAUUGUAAACCUCUUUUGUCGGGGGGCAAAAGAAGCCUCGCGAGGCGUACCGAGGGUACUUGAAGAAAAAGCAUCGGCUAACUCCGUGCCAGCAGCCGCGGUAAUACGGAGGAUGCGAGCGUUAUCCGGAUUUAUUGGGUUUAAAGGGUGCGCAGGCGGAAUACCAAGUCAGCGGUAAAAUCGAGAGGCUCAACCUCAUCGAGCCGUUGAAACUGGCUUUCUUGAGUGAGCGAGAAGUAUGCGGAAUGCGUGGUGUAGCGGUGAAAUGCAUAGAUAUCACGCAGAACUCCGAUUGCGAAGGCAGCAUACCGGCGCUCAACUGACGCUCAUGCACGAAAGUGUGGGUAUCGAACAGGAUUAGAUACCCCAGUAGUC
rnacentral:rRNA from 1 species